UACGGAGGAUCCAAGCGUUUAUCCGGAAUCAUUGGGUUUAAAGGGUCCGUAGGCGGUUUAGUAAGUCAGUGGUGAAAGCCCAUCGCUCAACGGUGGAACGGCCAUUGAUACUGCUAGACUUGAAUUAUUAGGAAGUAACUAGAAUAUGUAGUGUAGCGGUGAAAUGCUUAGAGAUUACAUGGAAUACCAAUUGCGAAGGCAGGUUACUACUAAUGGAUUGACGCUGAUGGACGAAGGCGUGGGUAGCGAACAGG
rnacentral:rRNA from 1 species